rnacentral:rRNA from 1 species
UCUGGUUGAUCCUGCCAGUAGUCAUAUGCUUGUCUCAAAGAUUAAGCCAUGCAUGUCUAAGUAUAAAUAGUAUACAGUGAAACUGCGAAUGGCUCAUUAAAACAGUUAUAGUUUAUUUGAUAAUUGACAAUUACAUGGAUAACCGUGGUAAUUCUAGAGCUAAUACAUGCUUAAACGCCCGACUUUAUGGAAGGGUGGUAUUUAUUAGACUGAAGCCAAUAUUCCUUGUGUCUAUUGCGGUGAUUCAUAAUAACUGAUCGAAUCUCUUUUUGAGAUAAAUCAUUUAAGUUUCUGCCCUAUUAGCUUUCGAUGGUAGUGUGUUGGACUACCAUGGCAGUAACGGGUAAUGAAGAAUUAGGGUUCGAUUUUGGAGAGGGAGCAUGAGAAACGGCUACCACAUCUAAGGAAGGCAGCAGGCGCGUAAAUUACCCAAUCCUGACUCAGGGAGGUAGUGACAAGAAAUAGCAAACCGGGAACCUCAUGGUUUCACGGUAUUGCAAUGAGAACAAUUUAAAACCCUUAGCGAGAAUCAAGUGGAGGACAAGUCUGGUGCCAGCACCCGCGGUAAUUCCAGCUCCACUAGCGUAUAUUAAAGUUGUUGCAGUUAAAAAGCUCGUAGUUGAACCUCUGUCUGGGGCUAGUUUUGGCUUUGGUCAGGCUAGUUCUAGGCAUCCGCCUACAAGACUUAGAGGGCAUUCAGUUGUUCACUAGGAGGAGUAGGCAUUUUACUUUGAAAAAAUUAGAGUGUUUAAGGCAGGCAAUCGCCCGCAUAUAUUAGCAUGGAAUAAUAGAAUAGGACACUUUUCCAUUUCGUUGGUUAUUGGAAUCGUGUAAUGAUUAAUAGGGACAGUUGUGGGCAUUUGUAUUUAAUUGUUAGAGGUGAAAUUCUUGGAUUUAUUAAAAACAAACUAACGCGAAAGCAUUUGCCAAGGAUGUUUUCAUUAAUCAAGAACGAAAGUUAGGGGAUCAAAGACGAUCAGAUACCGUCCUAGUCUUAACUAUAAACUAUUCCGACUCAAUGUUUGACUGGCUUAUAUAACCAGUUGAGCGUUGUAUGAGAAAUCAAAGUCUUUAGGUUCUGGGGGGAGUAUGGUCGCAAAGCUGAAACUUAAAGGAAUUGACGGAAGAGCACAACCAGGAGUGGAUUCUGCGGCUUAAUUUGACUCAACACGGGGAAACUUACCAGGUUAAAACAAUAGUGGGAUUGACAGUUUGAGAGCGCUUUCUUGAUUGGUUGGGUGGUGGUGCAUGGCCGUUCUUAGUUGGUGGAGUGAUUUGUCUGCUUAAUUGCGUUAACGAACGAGACCUUAACCUGCUUACUAGACUGGCGAUCAUCAAUCGUUAGUUUUUCUUAGAGGGACUUUGGUUGUUUUAACU